rnacentral:rRNA from 1 species
AGAUAUCGGGAGGAACACCAGUGGCGAAGGCGACCUCCUGGGCUGUUCCUGACGCUGAAUGCGAAAGCUAGGGUAGCAAACGGGAUUAGAAACCCCGGUAGUCCUAGCUGUAAACGAUGGAUGUUGGGUGUAGGAGGGUAAAAUCCUUCUGUGCCGAAGCUAACGCGUUAAACAUCCCGCCUGGGGAGUACGGCCGCAAGGUUAAAACUCAAACGAAUUGACGGGUCACCGCACAAGCAGCGGAGCGUGUGGUUUAAUUCGAUGCUACACGAAGAACCUUACCUGGGCUUGACAUGUAGGUAGUAGUGAAGCGAAAGCGGAACGACCCUUCGGGGAGCUUACACAGGUGCUGCAUGGCUGUCGUCAGCUCGUGCCGUGAGGUGUCGGGUUAAGUCCCGUAACGAGCGCAACCCCUGUCCUUAGUUAUACGUGUCUAAGGAGACUGCCCGGGACAACUGGGAGGAAGGUGGGGAUGACGUCAAGUCAGCAUGGCCUUUAUGUCCAGGGCGACACACAUGCUACAAUGGCCGGUACAAUGGGUCGCUAAACCGCAAGGUGGAGCCAAUCCUCUAAAGCCGGUCUAAGUUCGAAUUGUGGCCUGCAACUCGCCCACAUGAAGCUGGAGUUGCUAGUAACACGCAGGUCAGCCAUACCUGCGGUGAUACGUUCCCGGGGAUUGUACACACCGCCCGUCACGUCAUGG